rnacentral:RNase_P_RNA from 1 species
UUAUUCGGAUAAUUGCGACUUGUCUAAAAAAGACAGGUUGAGGAAAGUCCAUGCUCGCACAGGCUGAGAUGUCUGUAGUGUUCGUGUUAGCUGAAAAAAUAAGGCUAGGAAUUUGGUUUGUUUUGCAGAUUAGAUUACGGCAGAAAAAAGUACUAAGACUGAAAAGUUAUGUGCAAGUAUUCUUGAAAGUGCCACAGUGACGAAGCAUUUAGAGAAAUUUAAAUGGUGGAACGCGGUAAACCCCUCGAGCGAGCAACCCAAACUUAUGGUAGGGGCAUUCUUGAAAGCGGAAAUGAACGCUAAAAGGAGUAGUUUUUUUAGAACUGCAGAUAGAUAAUUAUCGCUUAUCUUUUUUCUCUUGAAGAAAAGAUAAGUACAGAACAUGGCUUAUAGAG